rnacentral:rRNA from 1 species
GAAUUUUAUAUAAUUAUUUUUUUUAGUAGUAAUUUUUAAGUGGUAAAGAAUUAAUGGUUAUAUUUAGUUGGGAGGAUUGUUAAAUUUGAAAAACUUUAAUUUGAUUAAAACAUUAAUUAAUGGUAUUAGGAAUGGUUUAUUUAAUUAAGUAAGAAUUAAUUACCUUCGGGAUAACAGCGUAAUAUUUUUGGUGAGAUCAUAUUAAUAAAAAUGUUUGC